GUGUUCGCCACCCUCUUAGCUCUGAUUGCUGACCCAAUACCUCUCCUGCUCUCCCAUAGAAAAUGGACCAGUAUCUGAAGACCAGUCUAAUCCUGUUGCUGAAUGUUGAGGCGGGAGUGGGGAGAAUGGGAUCAAACACACACACAUCUGCUGGGAUUUCACUUCCCCUCUUGUAAAAUGUGUUUCUGCCCUGCACUGAAAUGUUUCAGCGAAGGGAAUGUGAUGUCGAAGAGUGCUCCUCUCCCACCAAGGGCACUGGAUUCUACCAGAUUGCAAUGGAAUAUUUUUUGAAAGACCGUUGAGAAAUCCCACCUGGUAGGCCAGUGGAAAAUAGAAAGAACAUGGUGGCUGAAACAACUUAAUUGCAAAGUGAAAACUUUUGAUAGUUGGAAGUUAAUCAAGGAAAGAAUACCUUGCAAAGGAUGUCUGAGUCUGAUGGACUACAAGACACAGUCUGGAGUUUCCGUACGAAAACUGGCUCUCGGUCUGUUGAGCAUCAAAGGAUGAUUUUAAAUGGGAAGAAACUGGAGAAGGUCUGUAGUAGAUCACCGGAAAUCUAUUCUAAGUUGGAAAAUAUGACCCAGAAAUGAAUGUUCAUUUAUCAAGUACCUUCCUGGGCAGUGUGAAUUAAAUGUCUGUGAUCAAGCUGAAAAAGAAACAAAGAAUCCCUCCUGAAAAUCUCCAAAUUGGAAUAUUUGGAGUCCAGAAACUCACCACUCUUAAUGAAUGCAAUCGUAACCAUUCAAGCUACUUGUGAUUCCUUUGCCCCAGAUUGAAAAGAUGCUCUUUACAGCGUUAACGCAGGAGGCUUUCCCGACAGGACAUUGACGUCCCCCAAAUGGCACCGUCGGAAUACUUAACAUUGAGUUUGAAUAUGGAUACCAUUUUUU